CCAGGUGCGAUCCACUUACAGCAAAGGAGGCGUGAGAAUGGGCCUACAACCGCUGGAUUUACUGGUUGUAUCAUAUACUUACAGUAUCAAGAAGUAACUGGCCUGUUGCUCUAACAGGCCUUCUAGCAAUGGCCUUCUCAAGACAUAGGUGAAGCUCCAGCUUGAAGGCAAUAAUCCGAAAGGAUGAAGAAGCACCAUACUCAGAAUGCACACUAUACAUUUAAACAGAGACCUAAAUGUGAUGCUCUGCCAAUAAUAGGAAGAAUAUAUGGGCCCAGGUACCAAGGUGGGUAGCAGAAGGGUUCCUCUUGCCAUCAUCUCUGACAUACUGGAGGACAUUGUACUUCUCAUCCCUAUAAUUCUGGGCAUUGCAUUGCUAGAGUUCCUUGCCUAAAGUGAGAGGACUCUUACAAGGAGACAUAGCAAGAGUUUCAUUCAACUGGAACACUUUGGACAUCUUGUGUUCAGGGUCUCACAGUCUACAUGGACCUAUGCAGCAACUCUGAAGAAAGAACCGUGUGAAAACCAGGAGAUCAGAUCCUUCAGAAAUGAUAUUUUGGGUCACACCACCAGGUGGGUGGUGUCAUAGCACAGGUGGCUCACAGUCCUGUUGUCCUUGUCAUCGAU